AUUCCAGGCUCUGUGAACUAAGUGACUGAAGCUGAUUGACACAGGUCAAGGGGACUUCAAGGAAGAAAGCCAGCCUUAGACUGACAUCAGAGAACCAAACUCCGGUGUCUAAGCUCAAGUAAUACAAGUAAUUGGGAAGACACUGGCUCAGAGCCUGUCUCUGGUGACCACUGAAUUGUCCAGCACCUGAGGUCCCUGGAGCCCACGGACUGAGCCCAUCUGGGCUAAAAGAGGUCCCAUACAUCCUUCUCAAAGGCCUAUAUAAAUGCCAAGCAGAGUUAUAGCAGGAGGUUAGAAUCCUGAGAACUGUUUGGAAUAAGGAAUCCAAAUAUUGUCUUCCAGCUUCACCUUGUCACGACAGUCCUCGCCAGGGACAGCUGAGCAUCUACAUCUCCAUUUAUGCCGUGUGCACGCAGUACCAACAGAGGUCAGAGGAGGGUGUCGGAUCCCCUGGAACUGGAGUCACAGAUUCUUCCUUGCGUGGAUGAAACAGUCCCAACGAACACUUUAAAAAGACAAAUGUUCCCGACAGCACUGGUUGAAUUCAAAACUCGGCAGAUCCAUGUUCUUAUCCUUAGACAAGAGAGGGGCCAUAACAAGAUGGAAUGACGGAACAGACGUGAGAGAUGAUGUCCACCCAGAGGGUCUGCACUUCUCGGAGCCAGAAGGUGGAGAAGAGUAGGGAUGGAGGAAGUUCGAAGUUUUAGGAGUCUGCUCUUGGGUCCCUAGGCAUGAGGACAAGCUUUUCCUGUACUCAAUGCUCAUCUCUCAGUUGUGCCCACAUUGGUACACAUUACUUGCUUUCAACUGCUGCUGCUGCUGUUUCCUAAUUCAAUAAAGAUAUGGCUGGCUCAGCAGAGAGCUGUCAUC
rnacentral:lncRNA from 1 species